rnacentral:tRNA from 1 species
AAUAAAGUCAGCUAAAUAAGCUCUCGGGCCCAUACCCCGAAAAUGUUGGUUAAACCCCCCCCUUUAUUA